rnacentral:lncRNA from 1 species
GGCCGCCAUCAUGAAGGCCGCGCGCGCCGAGAUCGCCGCGGCGCUCAACAAGAUGAAGAAGGAGACCACCGCCGAGCUGGAGGCCAAGCUGGACGAGGGCCGCCGCCGCGUCGAGGCCGAGCUCGUCGAGGCGCUCGCCAACCUCGAGGCGCAGAAGGAGGAGGCCGUCAAGGCGCUCGACGCACAGAUCGCCUCGCUCAGCGACGAGAUCGUCAAGAAGGUGCUCCCAUCCGCGUGAGGAAACCGGACCAGCGAGCCGGCCGGAUGGCCUCUUCUUCCUCGCUUAGCUUUCUGAUCUGUGUGUAUACGCUUGUUGGGCUGCCGUCCAUCGGCGGCCCUGCUUUAUCCUAUGACUGUAAUUGCAUCGACAUUUUGUGCCAAGUAUAAAUGAAAUAUUU